rnacentral:rRNA from 1 species
UGACCAGACUCCUACGGGAGGCAGCAGUGGGGAAUAUUGGGCAAUGGGCGCAAGCCUGACCCAGCAACGCCGCGUGAAGGAAGAAGGCUUUCGGGUUGUAAACUUCUUUUCUCAGGGACGAAGAAGGUGACGGUACCUGAGGAAUAAGCCACAGCUAACUACGUGCCAGCAGCCGCGGUAAUACGUAGGUGGCAAGCGUUAUCCGGAUUUACUGGGUGUAAAGGGCGUGUAGGCGGGACUGCAAGUCAGAUGUGAAAACCACGGGCUCAACCUGUGGCCUGCAUUUGAAACUGUAGUUCUUGAGUACUGGAGAGGCAGACGGAAUUCCUAGUGUAGCGGUGAAAUGCGUAGAUAUUAGGAGGAACACCGGUGGCGAAGGCGGCCUGCUGGACUGCGACUGACGUUGAGGCCAGAAAGCGUGGGGAGCAAACAGGAUUAGAUACCCUCGUA